rnacentral:rRNA from 1 species
UACGUAGGAGGCAAGCGUUGUCCGGUUUUAUUGGGUUUAAAGGGUGCGUAGGCGGCCUGAUAAGUUAGUGGUGAAAUCGAGCCGCUUAACGGUAUACUCGCCAUUAAUACUGUCGGGCUUGAGUAAGUGUAAGGGAGAUGGAAAGCGUGGUGUAGCGGUGAAAUGCAUAGAUAUCACGCAGAACGCCGAUUGCGAAGGCAGCUUUCUGUCACUUAACUGACGCUGAGGCACGAAAGCGUGGGUAGCGAACAGG